GGAAGGGAGGAGUGGAGGGGAGUGGGGAAAGGACACAAACAGCACUGCAGUGAGCCAAUAUCCAGCAUUCAGAUGCUGGAAAGGACCUUGCUUCGGUGUGGAUCUGUGAAAAAUUCCAUCUGGCCUCAGAGAAUUGGAGCUCUCCUGCCUGACCUGUUUACCCUGGUGGAUGAGCAAUCCCAGGAAAGGAAAAAUAACCCCCUGAGAGGAGGAAGCCUCUGCUCCAGCAAACAGCCUUGUGUUUACAGGACUGGGCUCUCCAGAUAAGUUGUUUAAUCAGCUCCUCCUAAUGAGGACAACUUAAACACAAAAAGGAGAAUCUCCUUUUAUAUUUAGAACGUGCAAAACAUUUCCAAAUGUGCAUGGUUGGUGUUUUCAGGGCUUUGAGCUGGGCUGUGGUGCUGCUGCCUUCUCCCUUUCCACCGCUGGAUCCACCCUGGAUCCUUUUUUAAGGGCUGUAAACAAAAGGGGUUAAUUCCUGCAAUUCUUGUGGUCUGUGGAAACCCUGCUGUAGUCCAGGACGUGUUUCAGAUUUAUGGAAUAGCUGUUCCCCUGGCCUCAGAACGUGCUGCUACUUGCUGACUGCUCUCCUUAUAAGGGAGGAGAUCCGACUUUUAGGUGCGUGCCCCUUGGAAAAUCGGGGAGAAGGCAGAGCUGAGGAGUAAAUCUCAUUGCUGGGAGGAGAAGGGAUAGUGAGAGCCAAUACCUGAUCACCCCUCUGUGUUUUCCCUGAGCUGAUGGGUGUGUUUAUUUGUGAUUCUGCCCUAAUUAGCAACUUCCUGGACCACCAACUAAUCUCCCGCGCUAAAUUCCGAAUAUGAAACACACCUUGAAAGAAUCAGUGGAGACUCAUUCUAAAUUGUAUGCAGAGAUGUUAAACAGCCUUUCAUCUUUUUAAUCCUGAAAAAAACACCCCUCAUCGUGCUGCAGAGGUGAGAUCCUCUUUGCAAAGCAGAUGCUGGAGGUGGUGGAAGGGUUGCCCCAUUUCUGCUGCGUGGUGCAGCACAGAAUUCAAGUAGGGUCACGUCUGCUGCUUCAAACUCUGCUCAGAUGCUCUGUGUCAUAAUAUGGAGCUGGAAUGUCCUGGCUCCCAAUUACUGACUUGUUUUCUAAUGCAAGGACGAUGUUGAGCUUUCCAAGCUGUGUUGACUGGUGGUUUUUCUUGAGAAACCAAGAUAAGGGGAAUGUUCCUCACUGCUGUCAGUCUUCGGCCUGAUACCGACCUGUUUUCCAAACUUGGCCUUGAGGUCUUUGUCCAACUUGGUUGCUUACAAUGGUUUUGCUACAAGGUCAUUUUUGCAGAUAAUGAGCAUGAAUUUUAUUCUUAAUUCUGUCCCUUUGCUCCUAAUUGUUCUGCCCUGGUUCUGCUGCAGCUUCCUCUCCAUUUGCAUUCACUCCCUCCCUGCUUCAGUGCCAGAGUUGCUGGAGUCAGACACCUUUUGCUUUAUUUCACCAUGGACAGUCUGGCUGGCCAGCUUCAAUUAUUUUAUCUCCUUUCCUAAUUAGCAUUAUCAGGCUGAGCUGAAACAUAUUUCACAUUCCCAUACUUGUAUUUUGCCUGGUUGCCACCUGUUUUUCCUGGUUUCCUGCUGUCCUGGUGCUCCUUUCCCACGUGCUUGGCUCUUGAGCUGACUCUGCUCUACCUGAAUCGUUGGGAAUUGAUUUUUUUUCCCAAGCUGAGUUCAUGAAUCACUGUGUCAACUGUUUGCACUGGGUUAGUUAAUGCAUAUUUGUGUGCCCUCUGCCAGUUUGCAGGCAGCUUUGGGAAUCGCCUCUGUGAGUUCUGGAACGUCCCAGCUCCUGGGAAAAGUGUCCUGGAGAGAAGGAGCAGCAAGGUGCUUACCUGGAGUUUGGGUGCUUGCAGUUUCUGGGAGCUCUGCUGCCACAGAAAUGGUUUUCCAGAAGCCUGGAAGUCCCACACCGAUGCCCUUUGUGUGAGGAUUGCUGUGGCUGGGAAUUGCCCGAGGGAAUUUUGAAGAGAUCUCUCUCCUGGAUGCUGUGCAGAGCCAGGAGCUGGACUGGAUCAUCCUUGUGAGUCCCUUCCAGCUCAGGAUAUUCUGUGAUUCUGUGAUUAGGUGAACUUGGCCAUUUAUCUGUUUGAUUUCAGGAAUGCUGUGAGUGAAGAACACGGGAGAUGCUGCCUGUGAAGUAUCUUGGAGGGACAGACAGACAGACUUGUGCUUCCUGGAAUUCCUUUAAAGGCCACCUUGUGCUGACCCCCAGACCUUCCCCACCGAUGCCAAAUUCCCUUGGAAAAGGUGAGUGAGGAACUUUUAUCCCAGUGCCCCCAACAUCCCAGUGGGCAGCUCCCAGCACGUGGCCAAGGGAAGGAAGCAGCUCCCCCAAAAAAAGCAGGAUACAGAUCAUUCCAGGGGCUCCUCCUGCACCUGAGCAUGGGAGUGACUGUCUGAACACCAGAGUCCCCCCGUGCUCAUGGAUGUGCAUCCCAAAGUCCUCACAGCCCAGGAGCUGCCAGGGCUGGGAAGAAACCCCUGCCUCUCUUCCAGCUGCAGGAGCUGAGGUGCUGAGAGUUAAGUGGCUGGCCUGGAGCCAGAGUGCUGGAAAGGAGCCCAAACCUUCCCUGUGUUAGCUGGGAUCUGACCCUGCAGCGUUCCUUGCCCUGCUGGAAAUGUCACCCAUGAUCUCUGGAGCAGCCAUCCUGCAAAGAACAUCUCCUGAUUUUUAUUUUUUUCCCCCCUUGAAAUUGCUUUUCCUCACAGGACACCCCUCUCUGUUUGAUCCUGUGGGAUGCAGGAGGGCAGGAACACGCCAGCCUCUCUCCUGUAGCACUUCACAUUUCCUACAAUCCUGCCUGGAAAGUUGACUCUGGGUUUCUCCACACUGGGAAUGUUCCAGAGGACGUUGUUCCAGCUGAGUGACUCUGCAGCAGCACAGCCCUGGUGGUGGGUUGGUGGCAGAAGCCACAUGAGGACACAGCAGGGUGGCCCUGCCUGAUCCUGGCACCU